rnacentral:rRNA from 1 species
UAAACGGACCAUCGAGUAUCCAUUGGAGGGCAAGUCUGGUGCCAGCAGCUGCGGUAAUACCAGCUCCAAUAGCGUAUAUUAAAGUUGUUGCAGUUAAAAAGCUCGUAGUUGGACUUGUGUGCGCUGUCCGCGGGUGGCCUGCGCCCAAAAGGGCGUUUCGGUUCGGCCCCGGUGGCGCCUUGAAAUCUGCAGCUGGGGGGACGUUGGCCUUAACUGGUCGGCGACCGCACGCCGGCUGCUCGGUUACUGUGAGAAAAUUAGAGUGUUCAAGGCAGGCAUUGGGUGCAAUUGAAUACAUUAGCAUGGAAUAAUAAAAUAUGGCUCCUGCCGUAUUUUGUUGGUUUUGACUGGUGGGAGUAAUGAUUGAUAGGGACGGUUGGGGGUGCUAGUAUUGAGCGGCCAGAGGUGAAAUUCAUGGAUUCGCUCAAGACUAACUUAUGCGAAAGCAUUCACCAAGGACGUCCUCUUUAAUCAAGAACGAAAGUUGGGGGAUCGAAGACGAUCAGAUACCGUCGUAGUCUCAACCAUAAACUAUGUCGACUUGGGAUCGGCGGUAGUUUUUUCAUUAAGACACUGUCGGGACCACGGGAGAAAUCAAAGUGUCUGGACUCUGGGGGAAGUAUGGUCGCAAGGCUGAAACUUGAAGGAAUUGACGGAAGGGCACCACCAGGAGUGGAGCCUGCGGCUUAAUUUGACACAACACGGGGAAACUUACCAGGUCCAGAGAUGUAGAGGAUUGACAGAUUGAAGCUCUUUCUUGAUCACUUCGGUGGUGGUGCAUGGCCGUUCUUAGUUGGUGGAGUGAUUUGUCUGGUUAAUUCCGUUAACGAACGAGACCUCAGCCUGCUAGUGUAGUCGGCUGGAUUGCCUUUGGCGAUCCGUGAUUUCGACUUCUUAGAGGGACAAUCGACGCGCAGUCGAUGGAAGUUUGAGGCAAUAACAGGUCUGUGAUGCCCUUAGAUGUUCUGGGCCGCACGCGCGCUACACUGCUGGGCUCAGCGAGUUUUACUUGGCCGAGAGGCCCGGUUAAUCUUGUGAAAUCCCAGCGUGCUUGGGCUCGCCUCCUGCAACUGGAGGCGCCAACGAGGAAUUCCUAGUAGACGCAGGUCAUCAACCUGCAUCGAUUACGUCCCUGCCCUUUGUACACACCGCCCGUCGUUCCAUAAGAGUGAGGCAUCCGGUGAAUUCUCGGGAGAGCCUGGGCGUGGCCAGCAAUGGUCUGCUCGGGUUUGAACUUGCAUAAACUUGG